rnacentral:rRNA from 1 species
ACUCAAACAUGUGCAGAGGGGAAUAGCAGGUUAUGCAUCUCCGUGAGAGACUACUACUGUUACAUGUUGCAAACACGGCCUGCGAUUUUCAAUCCCAUACUUUGUGGAGCACGUCUACUGCAGCAAUGGGCGGUUGACAUGUACAUCAAGAUUGAGAGUUGUCGGUUGAGGUGGUACAGGAAGAACCAGACACAGAUCCGUGCCGACUUGUAUAAAGGAGUUGUUGAUGCGAUCACAUCAGGGGAGACGCGAGCAAGCUUUGUUGGGGUAAGGAUAGUGCUCCCUGGAACUUACCCUGGUGGCGACCGUGACAUGAAGAAGAGACAUAUGGAUGCCAUGGCAAUUGUCCAUACAUUCGAGAAGCCUGACAUCUUCUUGACCAUGACUUGCAACCCUAAAUGGCGAGAGAUAACGAAUGAGUUGCUUCCUGAUAAGACGGUGCAAGACCGUCCUGAUAUUGUGGCUCGCGUGUUCUACGGAAAACUAGAGGCUAUGAAAGACAUGUUGCUCAAGAAGAUGGUCCUGGGUGUUGUUGUUGCUUAUGUGUACGUAGUCGAGUUCCAAAAGAGGGGCCUCCCCACACACAUUUUUUGUUGA